rnacentral:sRNA from 1 species
GCUGGGUGCGGUGGUGGACACCUGUAAUCCCAGUGGCUCAGGAGGCUGAGGCAGGAAGAUUGCAAGUUCAAAAGCCAGCCUCAG